GGCUGAGACUCAGCAUAAAAUAAGCAGUAUUCACAUCGGCUCCCUGUAUCUGCUGCAACAGACAAGAUGAAGAAGAUCGUCGCUACUUUGGUGUGUCUGUGUGUUCUCAGCAUCGCAGUCAACGCGUUCUCCUUGGACUCCAUCCUGAAUCAGAAGGGGAAGGACCUUUGCCAGUAUUGCUCGCUCUGUUCUUAUGCAACUGACUGUGGUCCAAGCUGUAGCCAUGCCUUCUGUUUCUUGUGUCCCUACGCCAGCCAUUGCACUACUUCCUGCCAGAAUGAAUGUGUCGCCAGGACUACCCAAAGGUCUCGAUCACCAGACAUAUUAGGUACCCUGUCACGGCUCAUACAAGGCUAGGAGCUGGACAUAAGGCAAGGUCGUUACAGAGAGCACUGCCAGAAGCACGUAACAUUCACAGCCUCCAGAGUUUUGGACAAUAUCAGUUAUGUGUAGGUCAUGAUGACGAUAAAACCUAUCUUUUGUCCAGUGUCGCUAUUGUGUUCCUGUUGGUCAUCGGGCAUCCUUUCCCUGUCGGUCAUCACUGAGAUGUCCAUAUCCGUCAUCAAGAAGUAAUGGUCUUCGUAAAGAUAUCCAAGUGAUGUAUGUCAUCAUAAACAAUACAUCCGCUGACGGUCACAAUGAAGAUACAUGUACAUGUUUGUCAUUAGCAAGGUGUCCGUCAAUAUCUGUCAUCAUGAUGAUAUCUUGACCCUAGCUAUUCUGUAUUAAGACCUACAAAUGACAAUCAACCUGGAGACUACCUAAGACUGGCGUCAUCUAAAGACGUUCAGUUUCUCCCCACCAUCCCAAGGAUACAUUGAACAGCGGAUGCUUGUGGUGCCUUUGUGUCUCUUCUAAACAAACCAUUGCCUUGGACUGACUGAUUCCCCACCAUGCGACCCUUGCUCUCACCUUUAUGUAUAUAAUUGUAAUUGCGUAUGUAAUAAAGAUAAUACGAACAAAUUACGCUGAAAUGAGAAUGUAAAAAUGUCUGUACCUUACUUUGUCUCCGAUGAUAUACUACGCGUGCAAUAAAAUAUAUGAUCCA